CGAACGGAAAGGCCCUUCGGGGUACUCGAGUGGCGAACGGGUGAGUAACACGUGGGUGAUCUGCCCUGCACUUUGGGAUAAGCCUGGGAAACUGGGUCUAAUACCGAAUAUGAUCAUGCUCUUCAUGGGGUGUGGUGGAAAGCUUUUGCGGUGUGGGAUGGGCCCGCGGCCUAUCAGCUUGUUGGUGGGGUAAUGGCCUACCAAGGCGACGACGGGUAGCCGGCCUGAGAGGGUGACCGGCCACACUGGGACUGAGAUACGGCCCAGACUCCUACGGGAGGCAGCAGUGGGGAAUAUUGCACAAUGGGCGCAAGCCUGAUGCAGCGACGCCGCGUGAGGGAUGACGGCCUUCGGGUUGUAAACCUCUUUCAGCACAGACGAAGCGCAAGUGACGGUAUGUGCAGAAGAAGACCGCCA
rnacentral:rRNA from 1 species